CCCGGUUUCGGCCGGGGAUUAGUGGCGAACGGGUGAGUAACACGUGGGCAAUCUGCCCUGCACUCUGGGAUAAUCCCGGGAAACUGGGUCUAAUACCGGAUACGACACUCCGAGGCAUCUUGGGGUGUGGAAAGUUCCGGCGGUGCAGGAUGAGCCCGCGGCCUAUCAGCUUGUUGGUGGGGUAAUGGCCUACCAAGGCGACGACGGGUAUCCGGCCUGAGAGGGUGACCGGCCACACUGGGACUGAAACACGGCCCCUACUCCUACGGGAGGCAGCAGUGGGGAAUAUUGCACAAUGGGCGAAAGCCUGAUGCAGCGACCCCGCGUGAGGGAUGACGGCCUUCGUUUUGUAAACCUCUUUCAGCAAGGAAGAAGCGAAAGUGACGGUACCUGCACAAGAAACACCGGCUAACUACGUGCCAGCAGCCGCGGUAAUACCUACGGUGCCAGCGUUGUCCGGAAUUAUUGGGCGUAAAGAACUCGUAGGCGGUUUGUCGCGUCCAUUGUGAAAUCCCGGGGCUUAACCCUGGGUCUGCACUCGAUACGGGCA
rnacentral:rRNA from 1 species